CCUACGGGUGGCAGCAGUGGGGGAUAUUGCACAAUGGGGGGAACCCUGAUGCAGCGACGCCGCGUGGGUGAAGAAGCGCCUCGGCGUGUAAAGCUUCGUUAGCAGGGAAGAAAAUGACGGUACCUGUAGAAUAAGCCCCGGCUAACUACGUGCCAGCAGCCGCGGAAAUACGUAGGGGGCAAGCGUUAUCCGGAUUUACUGGGUGUAAAGGGGGCGCAGUCGGGGAUGCAAGCCAGGAGUGAAAGCUCGGGGCCCAACCCCGGGACUGCCGUUGGAACUGCGUGGCUGGAGUGCAGGAGGGGCAGGCGGAAUUCCUGGUGUAGCGGUGAAAUGCGUAGAUAUCAGGAAGAACACCGAUGGCGAAGGCAGCCUGCUGGACUGCAACUGACGUUGAGGCCCGAAAGCGUGGGGAGCAAACAGGAUUAGAUACCCUUGUAGUC
rnacentral:rRNA from 1 species